rnacentral:lncRNA from 1 species
UGGACAUGCAACGAAAUAACUAGCAAAGAGACCUUGUUUCAACAUCAAAUAUGUUUCCGUAGGGCCAGAUUCUUGGGCAAAGUUGUUUUAGCGAUCUGGUUGCAACUAAGGUUCUUUAUUGGAGGAUGACCCAGCUGGCAUGUGUAUCAUUCUACUCUGUGUCCUGCUCCUUCUUCCUGCUUGGAAUGUGGACGUGUCUACAGCUAUAGCAUCACUGCUGCCUUCAUAUCUGGUAUGAGACAGAGUUUAUCAUUCCUACAGAUUGCCAUUUGCCAGCUGACCUGUGACACGGCAGCAGUGUAUUACAUUUUCAAUGAGCAGUCUGUCUGGAGCUGCUACUGGGAGAAACUGCUUCCUGGUUUCUAGGCAUAAGAGCUGUAUCCUAACUGCACUGCUGAAUUUGGGCUUCCUGCUGGGAGCACAGCAAGUGCCCUCUUUGAGAGUGAGGAGGCUGAGAAUCUCACACCAACAGGAAUGAGUGCUUUGAAAUUAACUGGUG